rnacentral:rRNA from 1 species
UACGUAGGCAGCAAGCGUUGUUCGGAGUUACUGGGCGUAAAGGGUGCGUAGGCGGCUCUAUAAGUAUGGUGUGAAAUCUCCCGGCUUAACUGGGAGGGUGCGCUAUAGACUGUGGGGCUAGAGUGCGGGAGAGGAAAGUGGAAUUCCUGGUGUAGCGGUGAAAUGCGUAGAUAUCAGGAGGAACACCGGUGGUGUAAACGGCUUUCUGGACCAUAACUGACGCUGAGGCACGAAAGCGUGGGUAGCAAACAGG